rnacentral:rRNA from 1 species
CCAGACUCCUACGGGAGGCAGCAGUAGGGAAUCUUCGGCAAUGGGGGCAACCCUGACCGAGCAACGCCGCGUCGACAGCAGCCGCGGUAAUACGUAGGGGGCAAGCGUUAUCCGGAUUUACUGGGUGUAAAGGGAGCGUAGACGGGACAGCAAGUCUGAUGUGAAAGGCGGGGGCUCAACCCCCCGAACUGCAUUGGAAACUGUUGACCUGGAGUGCCGGAGAGGUAAGCGGAAUUCCUAGUGUAGCGGUGAAAUGCGUAGAUAUUAGGAGGAACACCAGUGGCGAAGGCGGCUUACUGGACGGUAACUGACGUUGAGGCUCGAAAGCGU